rnacentral:rRNA from 1 species
AAUUAACGGCCGCGCCCUAUUGACCGUGCAAGGUAGCAUAAUCAUUAUUCUUUUAAUAGAGGGCUGGAAUGAAAGGUUUAACGAACAACUGACUGUCUCAUUUUAUUUCUUUUAAAAUUUAAUUUUUUAGUUAAAAAGCUAAGAUUUUAUUGGUAGACGAGAAGACCCUAUAGAGCUUUAUAUUUAAUUAUAUAAAUAUUUUAAUAUUAAUAUUUUUAUUUAAUUCUUUAUUUUGUUGGGGUGACAAAAAUAUAUAUAUAACUUUUUUAUUUAAUGACCAUUGAUUUAUGAGUAUUAUAUCCAUUAUUAUUGAUUAUUAGAUCAAGUUACCUUAGGGAUAACAGCGUAAUCCUCCCCCAGAGUUCAUAUAUACAGGAUGGGCUUGCCACCCCCAUGUUGGAUUAAGAUAAUAAUUAUGUGUAGCCGCUUAAAUAAU